CUGAUUUCAAGAUGAGAAAAAUAUUUAAAAGAAAAAAAAAAAUGAAAGUUAGUAGUGAUCAUGGCAUGUGUUUUGUUUACUUUAACUUCAUUCUUUUUCUCAGUUUGGUAUUAGAUUGUUUUCUAGUCUCUCCAUCAAGAGAAAAUCAUGGGUUAUCAAGAAAAAUAUUUUUACAGAAUGAACUCAAAUUGAAUGAAUGAACUACAUACCUUCAAUGUAAGAUUUGAAGAAAUCCUUGUAAGUCCCUCCAAUUUUCCUUCUAAG
rnacentral:misc_RNA from 1 species